AUCUUGUAUAAAUUUAUUGUGGAAGAACAGUAAUGCAGAAAAAUCUCUCAUAAGCUUUUGUUCAAUGUAAUGUCAUCACCUCUGCAAUUUUGUUGAAAAACAUUAUGUGCAUUGUGGCAGUGUCAGGAUUCCCAGCAACUAUUUUUAUAGCUUCUUUCAUCCAACUGGAAACUUAUUAUGGAAGAGAAAGUAUAUACAAUAGCUUUUACAACAAUAGUUAAUGUAUUUGUGUUAUCUAAUAUCACAGGUGAGCUGUCGGUCAAAAGUGGCGGUCUCUGUCCCACCCAGACACCCAACACUAAAAGCUGUUUGUUAUGAGGCAUUGAUGAAAAUCUAAGUUGUUUUGGUCUUAGUAAAUCCUGUAAGACUGCAUGACGACCACAGGCAAAGGUUCGGGUUAUGGCUUUUGUUUUUUAUCCUAAUUAGGAAAUACUAAGCAACGUAAUGGUAUUUAAGUUUCAUGUAGGUUUUUUUUGUCACUAGAUGGCAUAUAGGUAAAACUUCAUAAUGGAGGCCGUGGCUAUCUUCAUGGUUAUGGUUUGACCCGUGUCCUGGCAAAUGGCAACCAACAGUUAUUUUAUUAAGGCUUUUUUUGUUUGUUUUUUGUUCGUAUUUUUGCCAGUUAUACUUUCUUUUAUUUGAAUUUUCAAAUGAAUAUGGCAGUGGAAAGCUGAACGGCAAGAAAAAGUUGAUUUGUGAACUGAAUUUUUGAGAGUUACGUGAAUAGAAGGAACAAGAGAUUCUACUAAAGAAGAAAAUGCAUUACAACUUCAAAUUGAGUGGAAGAUUGUUAGUUUUUGCUUCUGCUAUAGAAGCAAACAAAAAAAUUAGUUAUAGCAAAACCUGUACAACUGUAAUCAGGAGCAACCAGGAAUUUGGACAAGAAAGAAACAACCUUUCAACAAGAAAUCAGUUUUGAAGCCUGAGCAAUAUUAAUGCAUUCAACUGCGGCAAAGUAUGCUCCGGUAUUUGACAUGUUUUGGAACGCCAGUGUACUAACAAGAAAUCUACUGGGGCAUCCUUGGCUAUCCAAACAAAUUGAAGCGGAUCUCAAAUACCUACUGGCGAUUUUUCAGUGCCAUUAGAAACCACCAAUUGUUGCGACCAUCUAGUGGUAAUAUUGCUAACCACCAGUUCCAUCUAGUGGCGAGAUUGCAAACCACCAAUUGUAUACGCCACAGCCAUCUAGUGGCGAGAUUGACAAUCAUAAAUUGUAUACGUCACAGCCAUCUGGUGGCGAGAUUGCAAACCAGCCAUCUAGUGGCGAGAUUGCAAACCAGCCAUCUAGUGGCGAGAUAGCAAACCACCAAAUAUCAGUCAGCUGAUAGGUUUUCUGGCGUUCAGUUGCCAUGAUGGUUGCCUCACAGACUUGCCUGUCGGAUUGGAAAUUUGUUGCGAACCCAAGGAUUGUUAUGUAUAUCAGUAUAUCCUGCUGACAGUAUAGUAUUUAUACCAUGUACACCCACUAUCAGCAGCCUUAUAGUGUGCUUCCUAAAUAUGUCAACCCCUGAGAUAACAUUAUCAUUGGAAAUUGUGUUUUUGUUGUAGUUUUCUUCUCCACUUCUAUUAUCCAUAUGCAGUUUUUACGCCACUUCAUUACCUUCAUGGUGUGAUAUUUUAUCAUUCCGGAAAAAGGAGUCUGGAAAUUGAUGUUUCUAAUAUACAGCUGGUGUUCAGAUGAUGAGUUUAAUUUAUUUACAUUUCAGAAUGAACUUUCAAUUGGAAGUUGAGUGUUUUAUCAGAUUAUGGAAUCCUACUUUGAAAACCAAACUAUUUCCUUCUUCAAAUGGAUUUUGAACUAUUGUACAUAUGGUAUUAUGUACUCAAUGAUAUUUUCGUGAAGCCUUUAAUUGACGUUAUACUGAAAAAAUUUCCAUGGAAGGAAGUUCUUGCAGGAUCUGUUAUCGACCGUUUAUGUUAUGCAGUAAUUGGAUCUGCUGUUCAGUUAGAAACUUAAACUUAGAAAUAUUCUCAGCGAAGAAUUUAUAUGAAGAAUGUUAUUUCAUUGGAAAAAGUUCCUGGUUGAGACAAGAGAUUUAAAAAUGAUACUGUUUGGAAAGACGACCGGCAAUUUCAAGAUUCAUUUAUUUCCUUCCACAUUAUAGUAUUAUUAUAUUUAAAAAAGAUUAAAUUGCAUAUCUGGGC